GCCCUUUUAGCUCAUUGGAUAGAGCGAUGGUCUUCGAAGCCAUGCGUAGGGAGUUCGAUUCUCUCAAGGGGCGC
rnacentral:tRNA from 4 species